CCUGACGAUCAUAGCGAGUUGGUACCACCUGAACCCAUUCCGAACUCAGCAGUGAAACGGCUCAGCGCCGAUGGUAGUGUGGGGUCUCCCCAUGUGAGAGUAGGUCGUUGUCAGGU
rnacentral:rRNA from 1 species